rnacentral:rRNA from 1 species
CCCUUAGAUGUUCUGGGCCGCACGCGCGCUACACUGAUGCAUUCAACGAGUUUCUUCCUGGUCCGAGAGGAAUGGGUAACCUUUUGAAAGUGCAUCGUGAUAGGGAUAGACUAUUGCAAUUAUUGGUCUUCAACGAGGAAUUCCUAGUAGACGUAGUUCAUCAGACUGCAUCGAUUACGUCCCUGCCCUUUGUACACACCGCCCGUCGCUCCUACCGAUUGAAUGGUCCGGUGAAAUCUUGGGAUUUUGUUUUGUUUGCAUUUAUUUGUAUCGAGACGAGAGAACUUGAGUAAACCUUACCAUUUAGAGGAAGGUGAAGUCGUAACA